UACGUAGGGUGCGAGCGUUAAUCGGAAUUACUGGGCGUAAAGCGUGCGCAGGCGGUUUUGUAAGUCAGAUGUGAAAUCCCCGGGCUCAACCUGGGAACUGCGUUUGAAACUACAAGGCUAGAGUGUAGCAGAGGGGGGUGGAAUUCCACGUGUAGCAGUGAAAUGCGUAGAGAUGUGGAGGAACACCGAUGGCGAAGGCAGCCCCCUGGGACAACACUGACGCUGAAGCACGAAAGCGUGGGGAGCAAACAGG
rnacentral:rRNA from 1 species